rnacentral:lncRNA from 1 species
AAUUGGAAUCAGUGGGUGAAAGCUCUUAACUUUCAGAUUAAUGAAUUAAACUUUUUGAAUAAUCAAAGGGAAUCUAUGCGCAGUUGUAGGGAGGGGGCGACGUAGGGGAAAAGUUAGUUUUACAAAGUGAAGCUAACUCAGUUUAAUAAAUAGUUUUAGAAGUUUUUAGUGGUUAACAAAAGACUGCAUCUCUCUUAUGCAAGAACUGCCCAUGUUUCAUCUUGUCCGAGGUUGACCAUCCGCCUGUGCUCUCAAUGAGACUUCUAGCCCCUCAGAGACCACACCAGCGAGCAACAUCGCCACCUGCUGGGAGUUAGAAAAAUUACAGAAUUGGAUUAUCUUUAUUCAAAUAUUCUUGGAUUUCAGGGUUUAAAGAUGGAGUCUCAGUUUUAUAAGGGGGAGUUUCCCUGCACAAGCUCUCUCUCUUUGUCUGCUGCCAUUCAUGUAAAAUGUGACUUGCUCCUCCUUGCCUUCCGUCAUGAUUGUGAUGCCUCCCAGCCAUGUGGAAAUCACCCUGGCAAAGUAUACAUAAAAAUCAUGAAUCUGUGUCUCCGGGACCCAUCAGUGAAAUUCCUGGAGCACUGGCCUAAGGACUUGACCUCUUGCCCACCAGAUAACUCUUGUUAAAACAGAUUUCAAGUCAUAAUCUCUCCUGAAGACUCUUGAUUCAUUGUCAUGCAUCCCCUGGUACUAUUAUACACAUCCAUUAUAAGAAGAAAGCUAACAGAAAAUAUGCUUCCUUGCCAGAGUAUACUACUAAGUUGGAAUCACAGCAGUAUUUUCUUCUAUGAACUCUAUA